rnacentral:rRNA from 1 species
AUUGAACGCUGGCGGCAGGCCUAACACAUGCAAGUCGAACGAGUGGCGGACGGGUGAGGAAUGUCUGGGAAACUGCCUGAUGGAGGGGGAUAACUACUGGAAACGGUAGCUAAUACCGCAUACCAUCAGAUGUGCCCAGAUGGGAUUAGCUAGGUGGUGGGGUAACGGCUCACCAAGGCGACGAUCCCUAGCUGGUCUGAGAGGAUGACCAGCCACCCAGGAGAUGAGGCAAGGUCCAGACUCCUACGGGAGGCAGCAUUGGGGAAUAUUGCACAAUGGGCGCAAGCCUGAUGCAGCCAUGCCGCGUGGAUGAAGAAGGCCUUCGGGUUGUAAAGUACUUUCAGCGGGGGGGCGUUACCCGCAGAAGAAGCACCGGCUGACUCCGUGCCAGCAGCCGCGGUAAUUC